rfam:Camelus ferus unplaced genomic scaffold scaffold316, whole genome shotgun sequence.
GAGGGUAUAGCUCAAUUGUAGAGUGUGUGCUUAGCAUGCACAAGAUCCUGGGUUCAACCCCCAGUACCUCCA